UAGGACUUGGGUAUUAAAGCCACACUCACAGUGACACACCCAUUCUGACAAGGCCACACCCACUCCAACAAGGCCACACCUACUCCAACAAGGCCACACCUACUCCAACAAGGCCACAUCUCCAAAUAGUGCCACUCCUUGGUCCAAGCACAUACAAACCAUCAUCACAUAGUCAUAAAGAAAAAUGUACUUUGCAGAAAAAAAAAAAACAACCAUGGCUAGAACUGGAGAUCACUGUGCCAACUAAGCUGGACUCAUCAAGACAGACAAGAACUAUAUGUUCUCUUUCAUAUGCAGAUCCCAGUUUUGAAUAUUGACCUGGACGUGAUUACUGGUUGUUUAUAAGAGGUGUUGUUAUGAAAGGUGAUGUCUGCCAUGCUGACCUGAGCAAUCAAUGGAGAAAGGAGAGACCAGGAGACAGGAGAUGGAAUACGGAACGGACUCAGGGAAGUUCUACAGAAAACAUCCACGUGAGCACUAUCCUUGAUGUUGAGGGGGUUGCAACGGGCGAAAACGGAGCAGAGAAAGGAAGUCUUGAACCAAAGUGUGAGCAUCCAUGUUCAUAAAGCAUCUGGAGCAGAGGGAAGUUUGGAAUCUAUGACUUGAAUGCUUUUAGGACUGAAAACAGAGACGAGUGAUCCCCUCACUCACUCACAGCUACCACGUGAAGUAACAAGGACUUUAAGAGCUCAACAUAAACCAGUUCGGAGGUGGUAAAUGUUCCCCACCAAAGGACAAUGAAGCCAGGCGACCUUCAGUUAGACCUCUCCUUUCCCCAAACACCUGCAAGUUGAAGGCCAGUAAUUACCAUACAAAGUCUGCUGGAGUUUAUCCCCAAACACUUCCGGACUGUUCCCUUUGUCCCCCCUCCCCCCUUUUCUGAAAAGUUGCCUGUCUGUGCCAGGUGGGGAUGCUUGUUUUGGGUCAAGUUUAUAUGCUGCUUUCAAGACCAACUCUCUCCACUUUAGCCUGAGACCAUCUUCUCCCACUGGGUCCCUGGGUUAUCUAUCAUGGUCACAAAAACAUGGCGAGCAGGUGAUGCUUGUUUAGGUUCAUGGAAGCUGUUGUAUAACACGAGGUGUUCCCUGAUAUCUGCACACUUUCGGGUACGUGGGAAUGAGUGGCUUCUAUUUCUGGUACCUGUGAUGGUUCGUAUAUGCUCGGCCCAGGGAGUGACACUAUUAGAAGGUGUGGCCCUGUUGGAGUAGGUGUGGCCUUGUUGGAGUAGGUGUGGCCUUGUUGGAGUGGGUGUGGCCUUGUUGGAGUGGGUGUGUCACUGUGGGUGUGGGCUUUAAGACCCUCAUCCUAGCUGCUGGAAGUCAGUAUUCUGCUAGCAGCCUUCAGAUGAAGAUGUAGAACUCUCAGCUCCUCCUGCACCAUGCCUGCCUGGAUGCUGCCAUGUUCCUGCCUUGAUGAUAAUGGACUGAACCUCUGAAACUGUAAGCCAGCCCCAAUUACAUGUUGUCCUUAUAAGAGUUGCUUUGGUCAUGGUGUCUGUUGACAGCAGUAAAGUCCUAACUAAGUCAGUGUCUUUAUGAACAGAUGCUGUGACAGUCUGAGUGACAACAGUCCCUAAAGACUCAGAUAUUUGUAUGCUUAGUCCCCAGCUGACCAACUGUUUGGGAAGGAUCAGGAAGCAUGACCUUGUUGGAGGAGGUGUGUCACUGGGGCAGACUUUAAGGUUUUGAAAAUCCACACCAGGCCUAGUGUCUCUCUCGACCUGCUGCCUGUGGAUCACGAUGUAAAAGAUGUAAGAUCUUCCAUGAUAAUAUAUUAACCCUCCAAAAUGGUAAGGAAGCCCUCAGUUUCUUCGGUAAGAGCUGCCUUGGUCCUGGUGUCUCAUCAUAGCGAUAGAUUCAUGACUGAGACAAGUACUCAGGAAGUUCCUAUGCUAAAGGCUUGACAAGGCCAUGUGAAAAGCAACAGGAAGAUGCAGAAUUGAACAUUUGAGGAGCAAUGGCCAGGGGAUAACAACUCCAAAUAUUUCAAAGGCGAAGAAAGCCAAGACAAACAAAACUGAAACCAAUCUGUCUCCAGAGUUCCGAAAGUGAACAAAACCCAGAAUGCCUUUAGAGACUCGAAAGCAAGCGAACAAAUAAAAACCAAACAAGAAGACCAAAAUUCUUAAAACAAGCAAACUAGAUGUUGUGGUAAAACUAGAAACCAGUUUCUUUUAUCCCAAGCCAGUGCUGGCACCUCAUAUAGGGCCACAUGGCAUCUGUGGGAUAUUUUCAUCUCAGUCGGCAUAGUGUCUCACCCGCUAAGCUCCAUCCCAUCCCACACUGCUACUCUCUGAGCCCGGCAACAAUCUCUCUACCCAUCUAGUUCCCAAGUCGCUGCCAUGCCAGUUUCAUACAAAGACCGCCUAUCUCGUGGCUCUCUUACUGUGGACUCAAUUAAGUCGCCACUUGAAAGAGCACAGCAUACAAUAUCCUCUGAUCCAACUGAUGAGAUUCCUGACUCCGCCUUCCGUCUUGGGAUCUCGUAAAGUGUCCUUCCACUCCCCAUAAGGCCUUCCUCUGGUCAGCUCUGUAUCUACUUCUGGGGAAACGUCCCUGAACCAUGUCAUUUCAUUUAGGCUCCUAUACUCUCAGUCUCUGAAGGCACAGAUGCAAGUGUGUAAAAGAAAACGAACCGUGAGCGCGGCUGCUGCAGCUAGCCAAUCAGAGAAUGAGCUGUGCUGCUGUGGCUAGCCAAUCAGAGAGAGCAGCGCUGCUGCGGCUAGCCAAUCAGAGAAUGAGCUGUGCAUGGACGUCCUACCCCCGAGAAAUGAUGAAUGGUGGGUAUAGUGGCUAUUCCUGGUUGUCAACUUGACUGUAUCUGGAGUGAACCACAAUCCAGAAUUGGAAGGCUCACUUUUGAUCCUGAUCUUGAGACUGGGAGAUACAAGUUUCUGACCUGGAUUUGGUAUGGAGAUGGUGAGAUAAAGUGGCUAUGAAUCCCAGGAGCUUAAGGCAAGGAGAUCUGAGUUCUAGGUCACCUGGGAAAAGCAAGUCCCAGAUACAAGCGUGGCGGUACACACCCUUAAUCUGGGACACACCUUCUGCUGGAGACUUACAGAAAGACACUGGGAGAAGGAUGAGUCUCUUUUUCACCUGCCUGCCUGCCUGCCUUGUGGGACUGAGCCACUGCUAGAUCCUUGGAUUUCUAUUCACAGCUACUGAUCGUUGUUGGAGAGUUGAGACUACAGACUGAGAUUUCUGCUGCUUCCUGAUGGAAAAUACAAACAAAAUCGAAAUGAAAGACACAACCAUGUGUAUCCUGGGGGUUGAUUGUCAUUUUCAUUGUUUGAAAAAAAUAGAUGAGUGAAUCCAGAGAGGCUGUCUCCAGGCAUAGCAAGCCCUGGUUCUAGCUCUCUCCCGCCUCAAACACCCUCAAAAUAAUAUGCAGAUUAACUUGCCCAAGGAAAUGGAGUUUUUGAAAUCUUGUUUGGAUACCCGCCAGUGUUAACAUCUGAACGCCUCCCAUCAGCGAGAAAGCAACUAGGAAACACACAGAAAUUCUCACUGGUACGAGAAGGAGAGGGGAAAGAGGCACGACCCAGCGGUGCCUUAAUAGGCUAAAACAAUAAGAGGAGUGAGCCGGACCUCUUUCCAACGUUAGGAAAACGCACAAGAUGUUACUGAAUGGGAAAAGCAAAUUGUACAAAAAUACAGGUAAUUCUAUUAGCAGCAGACACACACACACACACACACACACACACACACACACAACUCUAUUAUAACUCUUCCACAGGAACAUACACAAAAAAAAUUCCACAAGGGCACAAAACAGUGCAAAGCUUCCAUUUUUAGGGUAAUGCAACAGCCUCCAGUGAGGGCACGGAUUGUGAUCAAAUUGGAAAUCAGCCCUAAGACCUUUGAAUUUUUUUUUUAUAAGGAAAGCUAUUUUCUCAAAUUACAUCCAAAGCACCUCACUACUGCUUGACACCAAAGAUGUGACCAGCAAGUAGAAGUUGAUUUAUUUUUUAAGGUGCUGAUUUAAUCAGAUUUAAAGGUGUUAAAACAUUGUUCACAUUAGCACAUAUGUCAAAGAUAUGUGUCGAGAGAGAGGUUGCCUUUGUCCAUUUGUACACUUCUGAGCUAGACGGGGAACUGGGAGGAGAAAAGGUUUCCACUAGGCAAAGACGCUGUCUUGAGGCUGUCAGCCAGAGCAAAGUCCCACAGCCCGCAGCCCACCCAUAGCCUGCAGCCCGAAUGAAACAUGUCGGACCUUCCCUGCCUCUCAGUUGGACAUCCAGAACAAGUGUUUUAACCACUCCAGUCACUCCCUGUAGAAGACAUUAUGACCUCUCCAUGGCACAGAAAGUUACACGUGUUACUCUUGGAAGUGCAUGGGGGCUCACAGUCACACAAUUUGAUAAUUGAGAAAUCCAAUUGGCAGUCUCUGAAGUGGGAAAAUGGAUUUGAACAGAGAUGGAAUUUGGGCAAAGGCUUUCAGGCAGCCUGAUCAAUAACUCUAACAGGUCAGACUGAAUACAGGC